UGAGGAAUAUUGGUCAAUGGGCGGAAGCCUGAACCAGCCAAGUAGCGUGAGGGAUGACUGCCCUAUGGGUUGUAAACCUCUUUUAUAAGGGAAUAAAAUACGGGACGUGUCCUGUUUUGCAUGUACCUUAUGAAUAAGGACCGGCUAAUUCCGUGCCAGCAGCCGCGGUAAUACGUAGGUCCCGAGCGUUGUCCGGAUUUAUUGGGCGUAAAGCAAGCGCAGGCGGUUUAAUAAGUCUGAAGUUAAAGGCAGUGGCUUAACCAUUGUUCGCUUUGGAAACUGUUAAAACUUGAGUGUAGAAGGGGAGAGUGGAAUUCCAUGUGUAGCGGUGAAAUGCGUAGAUAUAUGGAGGAACACCGGUGGCGAAAAGCGGCUCUCUGGUCUGUAACUGACGCUGAGGCUCGAAAGCGUGGGGAGCAAACAGGAUUAGAUACCCUGGUAGU
rnacentral:rRNA from 1 species